rnacentral:lncRNA from 1 species
AUCCAAAGCAUCAAACUCCUUUCUCAUGGCAUCCUGCCAGACUGGAACAGAUGCUGCUUGAGAGUAAUAGAGAGGUUCAGAUUCAAGAGAAGAAGAAGAUGAGGAAGAGCCAGAAAAAGAAGGAAGGUGACACACAUAAUCCUUGAGAUAAGAAGGAGGGUUGUGCUGCCUUCCAGACUUCCUGGAAACAGCAGGUGCUGUAGGAGGAGUAAUAUCAGGAUGGAAAGGUGGACUGGAAAUAGGAAGAUUGGAAGAGGGAACAGAACUGGAUGAGGGAGAAGAAGGGGCAGAAGGAGAAGGAAGAGAGGAAUCAAUUGGAAAAGACAAAUUUGACUCUGAAAGUGGAUGCUUAGAAGAAGGAACAAAAGGGAAAGAAACCGCAGGGGUAACAGGAGAAGCAAUACUAAAUGGAAAGCAAGUCUCAUGAAAUAUAACAUCCCUGGACACAAAGCAUUUUUUGGAAGUUAGAUCAUACAGUUUGUAACCCUUUUUGGCAAAAGGAUCUCCCAGGAAAACACAGAAGAUUGCUCUAGGCUUUAGUUUAUCCCUAUGUGGGAUUGGGACAGCAGCAUAAGCAAGACAGCCAAAAGCUCUGAGAUGAGAGUAAUUAGGUGCCUUCCCAUGUAAAAUUUCAUAAGGAUAUUUGUUUUGAAGGAGCCUGGAUGGGAUCCUAUUAAGCAAGUAAGUGGCAGUCAACAAACAGUCCCCCCAAAAAGAGAUGGGCAAUUUGGAUUGAAAAAGUAAGGCUCUACAAGCUUCAAGGAGAGUUCUAUGUUUCCUUUCAACAACACCAUUUUGUUGGGGAGUAUGGGGAACUGCUGGUUGAAGAAAGAAACACCAUCAAGACUAGACCCCAAUUCCAAAGCAUUGUCACUUCUUAUGGUUUGGACAGUAGCAUUAAAUUGAGUUUUAACCAUACACAGAAAGGAUUUAAUCAAGCAGAAAGCAUUGCUUUUAGAUCCCAGUAAAUGUGUCCAGGUUGCUCUAGAAAAAUCAUCAACAAUUGUAAGAAAGUAUUUAGAAGUAGAGGAAGUAGGAGUGUGAUAAGGACCCCAAGUAUCAGUAAAGUGUCUAGGUUGCCCUAGAAAAAUCAUCAACUAUUGUAAGAAAGUAUUUAGAGCCAGAGGAAGUGGGAGUGUGAUAAGGACUCCAAGUAUCUACAUGAAUCAAUUGAAAAGGCCUACAUAUACUGAUAGAGCUAUCAGGGAAGGGAAGUCUUGUUUGUCUAGCCAUAGGACAAAUAGAACAAGUAAAUGGCUGUUUAGAAGCAAAGGGAAAGGAUAAAGCAGAAAUGUGUUUCAGUUUUGCAAAAGGAAUAUGAGCCAGUCUUAAAUUCCAAAUGUAAUUCAUGUCAGAUGGAACUAUUUACAUUUGAAGGCAAAGUAACAGUCUGAUUGCUAGAAGAACAGACAUGAGCCAGUCUUAAAUACCAAAUGUAAUUCAUGUCAUUUGCAUCAGUGUUAUUACAAAUGGAACUAUUUACAUUUGAAGGCGAAGCAAUAGUCUUAUGGCUAGAAGAACAGACAUGAUUACAAGAAUAAGAAAGAGAAAACACAGAAGCAGAUGAACAACAGUUAAAAGAAGAAGGUGAAGGUGGCACCCAAGCAAACUUGUACAAGCCAACCUCCUCUUUACCAAGAUCCAGUGGCAUCUUCAGAGAAGGGGCCUGUAGCAUGUGAAGGAAACAAGAAGUUGCAGUAAAC